rnacentral:rRNA from 1 species
GAGUUUGAUCCUGGCUCANAACGAACGCUGGCAGCGCUGGAUUAGGCAUGCAAGUCGAACGGAAGCUCAUCGUUUCAAUUCUUCGGGAGAGAAGUGGUGAGUGAUAGUGGCGGAAGGGUGAGUAACACGUGGGUAACCUACCUCUAAGUUGGGGACAACCCGCCGAAAGGCGAGCUAAUACCGAAUGUGGUAUUCCGGCGCAUGUCGGGGUUACUAAAGGUGGGGAUUCUGCUUUCGGGUGGAACCUAUCGCUUAGAGAGGGGCCUGCGUCCCAUCAGCUAGUUGGUGAGGUAACGGCUCACCAAGGUUUACGGGUAGCUGGUCUGAGAGGAUGGUCAGCCACACUGGGACUGAGACACUGCCCAGACUCCUACGGGAGGCUGCAGUCGAGGAUCAUUCGCAAUGCGCGAAAGCGUGACGAUGCGACGCUGCGUGGGGGAUGAAGGCCUUCGGGUCGUAAACUCCUGUCAUUCGGGAAAAACGGCCCUGUCUAUAACAUGGGCAGGGUGUGAUGGUACCGAAAGAGGAAGCCACGGCUAACUCUGUGCCAGCAGCCGCGGUAAUACAGAGGUGGCGAGCGUUGUUCGGAUUUACUGGGCGUAAAGGGUGCGUAGGUGGUAACGUAAGUCGGAUGUGAAAGUCCAUGGCUCAACUGUGGGAUGUCGUUCGAAACUGCGAUACUUGAGUGCAGGAGGGGAGAGCGGAAUUCUUGGUGUAGCGGUGAAAUGCGUUGAUAUCAAGAGGAACGCCGGUGGCGAAGGCGGCUCUCUGGAAUGUUA